rnacentral:rRNA from 1 species
AUGACGGCGCAGGCGCUCGCGCCGCCGCCGCCGGAGCCGCGCCAGCUCAGCCUGGCCGACCUCCGGGCCGUCUCCGUGCUCGGCCGCGGCGCCAAGGGCGUCGUCUUCCACGUCGUGCCCGAGGGCGGCGGAGGCGGCGGAGACGUCGCCAUGGCGCUCAAGGCGGUCUCGCGGGAGGCCGCGCGCCACAAGAAGAGCGGCGGGAGCGGCGGCGGCGGCGGCGCCGGGGACGGGCACCGGAGGAUCUGGUUCGAGCGCGACGUGCUGCUGGCCCUGCGCCACCCGCUCCUCCCCGCCCUCCGCGGCGUCCUCGCCACCGACGCCGUCGUCGGCUUCGCCAUCGACCGCUGCGGCGGCGGCGACCUCAACUCCCUCCGCCGCCGCCAGACCGAGAAGAUGUUCUCCGACUCCGUCAUACGGUUCUACGCGGCGGAGCUGGUGCUGGCUCUCGAGUACCUGCACAGCAUCGGCAUCGUCUACCGGGACCUCAAGCCGGAGAACGUCCUCAUACAGGACACCGGCCACAUCAUGCUCGUCGACUUCGACCUCUCCACGAGGCUCCCGAUCCUGCCGCCGGAGCAGGACGCCCCCAAACCGGCGCCCGUCCCCAGCUCGCCGUCCCCGAACACCCGGAAGCAGCCCAAGAAGCCGGCCAUGUGCUUCCGGUUCCGUUCGGGCGGCGCCACGAAGCCGGCCGUGUCCGCGGACUCGCCGUCGCCGCCGUCCACCUCGCGGACGGCCUCCUCGUCCUCCACCUCCUCCACGACCACCACGGCCUCCUCCACGGUCUCCGGCGCGCGCACGCCGGCCAAGUCGAACUCGUUCGUGGGCACGGAGGACUACGUGGCGCCGGAGAUCAUCGCCGGGAGCGGGCACGACUUCAUCGUGGACUGGUGGGGCCUGGGCGUGGUACUCUACGAGAUGCUCUACGGGCGCACGCCGUUCCGGGGCCAGAACCGCAAGGAGACCUUCUACCGCGUGCUCACCAAGCAGCCGGAGCUGGUGGGCGAGAAGACGCCGCUGCGCGACCUCAUCGCCCGCCUCCUGGAGAAGGACCCGGCCAAGCGCAUCGGCGCGCGCGGCAUCAAGGCGCACCCCUUCUUCCACGGCGUCGACUGGGACCGCAUCCUCCGCGUGGCGCGCCCGCCCUACAUCCCCGCCCUGCCCCACGACGACGACGAUGCCGAGGUGCUCGACGUCGAGAAGGUCGUCCACGAGACGUUCGCGGCCAGCGACGUCGAGAACGCCGCCGCGGCGGCGGGGGACGAAAAGAAGGCUUUGCCGGAGACGGAGACGGGCGGGGGCGUCGGCGACGACGGUGAGCGGAGGAUGAUGGAUCCGUCGAAAGAUGGCGAUUUCUCCGUGUUUUUCUGA